UCUAAUAUGGCAGAUAAGUGCAAUGGAUUUAAAUCCCAUAUAUAAAGUAAUAAAAAACUUUUAUUGGAA
rnacentral:tRNA from 1 species